AGAAAAGUCAAUAGAAAUUAUAAAUAAAAAAAUUAUAUAUAUAUAUAUGAGUCUAUGAAUAUAUAUAUAUAAAUUCUCUUCGAGGAAUCUGUGUAGCCAUCGCGUGUGUAGUUUUUAUGUUUACACUGUAAGCAGUUUUUUGUAUAGUUGAAAGGGCGAAGCAACCAAAAAUGAGAUGAAACCUUUAUUAUAUAUACAUAUACAUAUAUAUAUACAAAAAAGAUAUAUAUGUAUGUUUUAUUUAUUGUUUCUCUUCGUGUAAAUACAAUCUGUAGUUCGAUUUCUAAGUAGCGAAAAAGUGAAUGAAAGAAACCAAAAUUGAAUGUUUAUGAUUUAAUACGAAUGCAUAUUGAAUGGCAACUAAAUACAAUUUGAAUAAGUUCAACCUGUACAAUAAUUUAAUAUUAAAUAAAAUGCAAAAAUAUAAAACUAAAAAAAAAAAGAAAAUCAAUAAAAAAAUUCAAAAAACAAAAUUCAAAUAGAACUCGACAAAAUCGUUUCAAUUACCCUUGGACUUGCACUUGAAGCUAUCUAUAGAUGCAGAAAAUGGUAAUGAAUAUAUAUAUAAAUACAUAUCUGUAUAUAGGCAGAUACAUGCAUGCGAGGUCUGCUCAACAAGUAUCAUUAAUAAUUAUUUGUUUAGUAUUAUCAGACGUCCAGCAUGAAACAGCUCUGAGAACUGAGCAUUUGCUGAGUGAUUGGCGUAAUAGAGAUUCAAGAGUCCAUUCGGAUAUCGAUAGUCGUAUAUGUCAUCUCAAGAGUUUGCCAAACUCCUUAAGCACAUCUCGCACUUGUAUCUAUUUGAGUAGCUGGCGCAUGACACACUUUGGAAUUCGAGGCUGUCGCUAAAGUGACGAAUGUCUCGCUCGCUAAAAAUUCGCAUAAAUAACAAUUGAGCCAACUAAUAUUCUUUAAUUUUGUUUUAUGACAAUAAACGAAAUAGUUGACACCACGGGCUAAUUAACUCGGGCAAUAUCAAUUGAUCUGCCUCCAUUUGAAUGUCAGAUUGAGCUACAUUUCGCAAACGUCGCUCACAAUUUGUAGUUUUGGCUAAUUACGCAAAUGACACAACUCUUUGGCGAGGCAUGCAACUGUUUUUUUUUUUUUAUUAUUAUUAUUAUUAAACAAUCUUUUUUCUUUUAAUGAAUUUAUUGCUGUUGCCUUUGGGCUGUCGUCAUCGACGGAUCUGUUCAUUCAGCAGGGCUGCAGUUGAUGCCGCUGCCUGCCAAUGAUCCAUCAGUCUAUCAGAGUCGUUGGAUCUGCGCACGACUCUGGCCAGCUGCAAAAGGCAAAAGGUUUCCACGAUGACCGUCAAAAACCCAUAACGGCAAAACAAUUGCCACGUAAUUUAGCUAAAGCCAACAGCAGCAGCUAAAGCAUCGCAGCUAUGGAAAAUGACACAAUCCGGAAAGCUAUAAAGCGUUAUCAUCUAAAACGUAGCUAGCAUUAAACAUCAAAAUACAAUUCAAAAGUUAGGUUGGCUGAAACUUAAGGAACAUGUCACAUUUCCCAUAGCUCAUACAUUUACGAUUUCGUAAUUACACGUUGAUCUAUCGGCAUCUGCGAGAGUUAAAGUUCAAUAAACGCUAUAAAAAUCUCAUUUGAA